rnacentral:rRNA from 1 species
UACAGGGGGGGCAAGCGUUGUUCGGAAUUACUGGGCGUAAAGAGCUCGUAGGUGGUUUGUCGCGUUGUUCGUGAAAACCGGGGGCUUAACCCUCGGCGUGCGGGCGAUACGGGCAGACUUGAGUACUGCAGGGGAGACUGGAAUUCCUGGUGUAGCGGUGGAAUGCGCAGAUAUCAGGAGGAACACCGGUGGCGAAGGCGGGUCUCUGGGCAGUAACUGACGCUGAGGAGCGAAAGCGUGGGGAGCGAACAGG